rnacentral:rRNA from 1 species
ACGUACACUCCUGCGGGAGGCAGCAGUAGGGAAUCUUCCACAAUGGGUGCAAACCUGAUGGAGCAAUGCCGCGUGAGUGAAGAAGGUCUUCGGAUCGUAAAGCUCUGUUGUUAGAGAAGAACACGUGCUAGGUAACUACUAGCGCCUUGCCGGUAUCUAACCAGAAAGUCACGGCUACCUACGUGCCAGCAGCCGCGGUAAUACGUAGGUGACAAGCGUUGUCCGGAUUUAUUGGGCGUAAAGGGAGCGCAGUCGGUCUGGUUAGUCUAAUGUGAAAGCCCAUGGCUUAACCGUGGAACGGCAUUGGAAACUGACAGGCUUGAAUGUAGAAGAGGAAAAUGGAAUUCCAAGUGUAGCGGUUGAGUGCGUAGAUAUUUGGAGGAACACCAGUGGCGAAGGCGAUUUUCUGGUCUAACAUUGACGCUGAGGCUCGAAAGCGUGGGGAGCGAACAGGAUUAGAAACCCGAGUAGUCCC